GAUGAAGAACGCAGCGAAAUGCGAUACUUGGUGUGAAUUGCAGAAUCCCGUGAACCAUCGAGUCUUUGAACGCAAGUUGCGCCCGAAGCCAUUAGGCCGAGGGCACGCCUGCCUGGGCGUCACACGUCGUUGCCCCCCCAUCCACUCCUUCGGGAUUGCGGGGGGCGGAUGAUGGCCUCCCGUGCGCCUCGUCGCGCGGUUGGCAUAAAUGCCAAGUCCUCGGCGACGCACGCCACGACAAUCGGUGGUUGCGAAACCUCGGUUGCCCGUCGUGUGCGGUCGUCGCGCAUCGAGGGCUCGAAAAAAUUGCCGGGCUCCGGCUCGGCUUUCAACGCGACCCCAGGUCAGGCGGGGUUACCCGCUGAAUUUAAGCAUAUCAAUAAGCGGAGGA
rnacentral:misc_RNA from 1 species